CUUGGAACAGAAUGUCAAAGAGGGUGAGAGUCCCGUCUUGGACCGCGGUAGGGCCUGUGUAAAACUCCUUCGACGAGUCGACUUGUUUGGGAAUGCAGGUCAAAAUGGGUGGUAAAUUUCAUCUAAAGCUAAAUAUUGGCCAGAGACCGAUAGCGCACAAGUAGAGUGAUCGAAAGAUGAAAAGCACUUUGAAAAGAGAGUUAAACAGUAUGUGAAAUUGUUGAAAGGGAAGCGCUGGCAACCAGACUCGUGCGCGGGGUUCCCCCUUGCUUCUGCUUGGGUCACUUCCCCGUGUCCGGGCCAUCAUCAGUUUCGGGGGCCGGUCAAAGGCCCUGGGAAUGUAUCCACGCCUUCGGGGGUGGACUUAUAGCCCAGGGUGUCAUGCGGCCACCCGGGACUGAGGAACGCGCUUCGGCGAGGAUGAUGGCGUAAUGGUUGUCAGCGGCCCGUCUUGAAACACGGACCAAGGAGUCUAACAUCUAUGCGAGUGUUCGGGUGUCAAACCCUUGCGCGGAAUGAAAGUGAACGGAGGUAGGAAGGCUUCAGCCUGCACUAUCGACCGAUCCUGAUGUCUUCGGAUGGAUUUGAGUAAGAGCAUAGCUGUUGGGACCCGAAAGAUGGUGAACUAUGCGUGAAUAGGGUGAAGCCAGAGGAAACUCUUGUGGAGGCUCGCAGCGGUUCUGACGUGCAAAUCGAUCGUCAAAUUGCGUAUAGGGCGAAAGACUAAUCG
rnacentral:rRNA from 1 species